GUUGUAUAGUCAAGUAAUUAAGUGCAUGUGGUGGAUGCCUUGGCAGUCAGAGGCGAUGAAAGACGUGAUAGCCUGCGAAAAGCUCCGGGGAGGCGGCAAAUAUCCUUUGAUCCGGAGAUGUCUGAAUGGGGGAACCCACCUACUUUAAGGUAGGUAUUGCAACAUGAAUACAUAGUGUUGCAAGGCGAACGAGGGGAAGUGAAACAUCUCAGUACCCUUAGGAAAAGAAAUCAAUUGAGAUUCCCUCAGUAGCGGCGAGCGAACGGGGAUCAGCCCAUUAAGUUAUGUGUGUUUUAGUGGAACGCUCUGGGAAGUGCGAACGUAGAGGGUGAUAUUCCCGUACACGAAAGGGCACACAUAAUGAUGACGAGUAGGGCGAGGCACGUGAAACCUUGUCUGAAUAUGGGGGGACCAUCCUCCAAGGCUAAAUACUCCUGACUGACCGAUAGUGAACCAGUACCGUGAGGGAAAGGCGAAAAGAACCCCUGUGAGGGGAGUGAAAUAGAUCCUGAAACCGCAUGCAUACAAGCAGUGGGAGCACCUUCGUGGUGUGACUGCGUACCUUUUGUAUAAUGGGUCAGCGACUUAUAUUCAGUAGCAAGGUUAACCGUAUAGGGGAGCCGUAGAGAAAUCGAGUCUUAAUAGGGCGUUUAGUUGCUGGGUAUAGACCCGAAACCAGGCGAUCUAUCCAUGAGCAGGUUGAAGGUUGGGUAACACUAACUGGAGGACCGAACCCACUGUCGUUGAAAAGCCAGGGGAUGACUUGUGGAUAGGGGUGAAAGGCUAAUCAAGCCUGGUGAUAGCUGGUUCUCCCCGAAAGCUAUUUAGGUAGCGCCUCGGACGAAUACCAUAGGGGGUAGAGCACUGUUUCGGCUAGGGGGUCAUCCCGACUUACCAAACCGAUGCAAACUCCGAAUACCUAUGAGUACUAUCCGGGAGACAGACUGCGGGUGCUAACGUCCGUAGUCAAGAGGAAAACAAUCCAGACCGCCAGCUAAGGCCCCAAAAUCAUAGUUAAGUGGGAAACGAUGUGGGAAGGCAUAGACAGCUAGGAGGUUGGCUUAGAAGCAGCCACCCUUUAAAGAAAGCGUAAUAGCUCACUAGUCGAGUCGGCCUGCGCGGAAGAUGUAACGGGGCUAAAACUAUGUGCCGAAGCUGCGGAUNNNNNNNNNNNNNNNNNNNNNNNNAUGCUGGAGGUAUCAGAAGUGCGAAUGCUGACGUGAGUAACGACAAAACGGGUGAAAAACCCGUUCGCCGAAAGACCAAGGGUUCCAGUCCAACGUUAAUCGGGGCUGGGUGAGUCGACCCCUAAGGCGAGGCCGAAAGGCGUAGUCGAUGGGAAAAUGGUUAAUAUUCCAUUACUUCUGUGUAAUGCGAUGAGAGGACGGAGAAGGCUAAAUCAGCCUGGCGUUGGUUGUCCAGGUGAAAGGAUGUAGGCAUGUAUCUUAGGCAAAUCCGGGGUACUCUAUGCUGAGAUCUGAUAGCAAGCUGUACUUGUACAGCGAAGUGGUUGAUGCCAUGCUUCCAGGAAAAGUCUCUAAGCUUCAGUUACACAGGAAUCGUACCCGAAACCGACACAGGUGGUCAGGUCGAGUAGACCAAGGCGCUUGAGAGAACUCUGCUGAAGGAACUAGGCAAAAUGGUACCGUAACUUCGGGAGAAGGUACGCUGUUGUUGGUGAUGGAACUCGCUUCCUGAGCUGACGACAGCCGCAGAAACCAGGCCGCUGCAACUGUUUAUUAAAAACAUAGCACUCUGCAAACACGAAAGUGGACGUAUAGGGUGUGAUGCCUGCCCGGUGCUGGAAGGUUAAUUGAUGGGGUUAGCGUAAGCGAAGCUCUUGAUCGAAGCCCCAGUAAACGGCGGCCGUAACUAUAACGGUCCUAAGGUAGCGAAAUUCCUUGUCGGGUAAGUUCCGACCUGCACGAAUGGCAUAAUGAUGGCGGCGCUGUCUCCAGCAGAGGCUCAGUGAAAUCGAAAUCGCUGUGAAGAUGCAGUGUACCCGCGGCUAGACGGAAAGACCCCGUGAACCUUUACUGCAGCUUGACACUGAACUUUGACCUUACUUGUGUAGGAUAGGUGGGAGGCUUUGAAGCUGGAACGCUAGUUCCAGUGGAGCCGUCCUUGAAAUACCACCCUGGUAAUGUUGAGGUUCUAACUCUGUCCCGUGAUCCGGGACGAGGACCGUGUCUGGUGGGUAGUUUGACUGGGGCGGUCUCCUCCUAAAGAGUAACGGAGGAGUACGAAGGUGCGCUCAGCGUGGUCGGAAAUCACGCGUAGAGUAUAAAGGCAAAAGCGCGCUUAACUGCGAGACCCACAAGUCGAGCAGGUACGAAAGUAGGUCUUAGUGAUCCGGUGGUUCUGUAUGGAAGGGCCAUCGCUCAACGGAUAAAAGGUACUCUGGGGAUAACAGGCUGAUACCGCCCAAGAGUUCAUAUCGACGGCGGUGUUUGGCACCUCGAUGUCGGCUCAUCUCAUCCUGGGGCUGAAGCAGGUCCCAAGGGUAUGGCUGUUCGCCAUUUAAAGAGGUACGCGAGCUGGGUUUAGAACGUCGUGAGACAGUUCGGUCCCUAUCUACCGUGGGCGCUGGAAAUUUGAGAGGAUCUGCUCCUAGUACGAGAGGACCAGAGUGGACGAACCUCUGGUGUACCGGUUGUGACGCCAGUCGCAUCGCCGGGUAGCUAUGUUCGGAAGGGAUAACCGCUGAAAGCAUCUAAGCGGGAAGCCUACCUCAAGAUAAGAUUUCCCUAGGACUUUAUGUCCUCUAAAGAGCCGUUCGAGACUAGGACGUUGAUAGGUUGGAUGUGGAAGCAUAGUGAUAUGUGAAGCUGACCAAUACUAAUUGCUCGUGAGGCUUGACUAUACAACACCCAAGCAGUUG
rnacentral:rRNA from 1 species